rfam:Salmo salar isolate Sally breed double haploid chromosome ssa06, whole genome shotgun sequence.
UGCAUUCACUACUGUAAAUCGCUCUGGAUAAGAGCGUCUGCUGAAUGACUAAAA